rnacentral:rRNA from 1 species
CCUACGGGAGGCAGCAGUGAGGAAUAUUGGUCAAUGGACGAGAGUCUGAACCAGCCAAGUAGCGUGAAGGAUGACUGCCCUAUGGGUUGUAAACUUCUUUUAUAUGGGAAUAAAAUGUUCCACGUGUGGGAUUUUGUAUGUACCAUAUGAAUAAGCAUCGGCUAACUCCGUGCCAGCAGCCGCGGUAAUACGGAGGAUCCGAGCGUUAUCCGGAUUUAUUGGGUUUAAAGGGAGCGUAGGUGGAUUGUUAAGUCAGUUGUGAAAGUUUGCGGCUCAACCGUAAAAUUGCAGUUGAAACUGGCAGUCUUGAGUGCAGUAGAGGUGGGCAGAAUUCGUGGUGUAGCGGUGAAAUGCUUAGAUAUCACGAAGAACUCCGAUUGCGAAGGCAGUUCACUGGACUGCAACUGACACUGAGGCUCGAAAGUGUGGGUAUCAAACAGGAUUAGAUACCCGAGUAGUC